GCAACCUGGAUAGCUCAGCUGGUUAGAGCAUGGUGCUGAUAAUGCCAAGGUUGCAGGUUCGAUCCCCAGAAGGGAUAGUUGCA